AUACUCAGAUCGAGCUGCUGCAUAUGCUUUUGGAAACAUCGAUCCAACAAACAUCUCACGGGUAUUCCUUCUUGGUCUAUCACACCAUUAUUACACUCCAAAAUGUGCUCUCUCGACAGCUACAGUUUACCAGACACCAAUAGGGGACCUACCUAUUGAUUUGGAAGUCAUUGACGAACUGAAAGCCACAGGAAAAUCUGAAUCGAAGAAUCUCCGAGUAGAUGAAACUGAGCAUAGCAUGGAAAUGCACUUGCCAUGUCUUUCAGAAGUGUUUGAGGGG